rnacentral:rRNA from 1 species
UGGGGAGUUUUGGACAAUGGGCGCAAGCCUGAUCCAGCCAUGCCGCGUGCGGGAAGAAGGCCUUCGGGUUGUAAACCGCUUUUGUCAGGGAAGAAAUCUUCUGAGUUAAUACCUCGGGAGGAUGACGGUACCUGAAGAGUAAGCACCGGCUAACUACGUGCCAGCAGCCGCGGUAAUACGUAGGGUGCAAGCGUUAAUCGGAAUUACUGGGCGUAAAGCGUGCGCAGGCGGUUUUGUAAGACAGAGGUGAAAUCCCCGGGCUCAACCUGGGAACUGCCUUUGUGACUGCAAGGCUUGAGUGCGGCAGAGGGGGAUGGAAUUCCGCGUGUAGCAGUGAAAUGCGUAGAUAUGCGGAGGAACACCGAUGGCGAAGGCAAUCCCCUGGGCCUGCACUGACGCUCAUGCACGAAAGCGUGGGGAGCAAACAGGAUUAGAUAGCCCUGGUGGUCCACGCCCUAAACGAUGUCAACUGGUUGUUGGGAAGGUUCCUUCUCAGUAACGUAGCUAACGCGUGAAGUUG